UCAAAUAAAAAAUAAAAUAAAAAAUAAUGAUCACAUGUUGUUGUGAUGGUUAUGAGGGUUGAGUGUCUUGAUAAGGAGCCCAGCAGGUAGGUAAUGUUUCACAGGACGUUUAUGGCAAAGGAUCAAAGGUCCAAUUCGGUUUUCCUGUCACAUCCGCCUUCACACCUCAGAGGGAUUUCUGCCUAGAAGAGUGUAAAUCACUGCUAGGAUUCCAGAGCGCGUGGCUGCUUCCUGUUUAUCAGCAUGGUGGAGCUUGCCUUCUAUCCCGCGGUGGCACUGAUCUACUUCUUUGGAGUGAUGAAAGCCUCAAAGGAGGACAAGGUGGAGCUGAAUGACGGGGCAUCGAUGAACGUGUUCUGCCUGUUUGUAUUGGCACAGCCUUUGUGUCUGGUGAUUGGAGGAUACACUGGCAUGGCCACCUACCUCCUUACAGCUUUGGUUUCCUACAACUUCCUGCCAUGGAGAGAGACCCAACAGAUGGAAGUCUCAAAGAAGAACAAAUGAGAACAAGGAACUCAUUGUGUUGAGAAGAGAUACAGAACAAAUAGCAUGUGAGAGAAUAUAUGAGAGAUAUAUAACUAAAGAACAAGCAUUCCUGUGUUAAAUGACUUAGCAAUAUAUUUGCAAUAUAAUUUGCUUCUUUUAAUCAGUUUUUUCCAAAAUAGAAACUACGGUUUCUAACCAUUACUUUUAAUUACUUUUAAUUUUCUCCUGUGUACUCUGGACAGCAUCCAAGGAAUUAUGUCUAGAAACUGCCCACAGCUGCAUUUGACACAAAUGCUUUACAAAUGAAGAGAUUUUGCUUUAUGUAAUGUUUUGAAACAUCUGUUAAACCUCUUGCGGUGAUGCCUGGUUAGAGCGAACAGGAGGUAAGACGUGAUGCAACAGCAUGCUGCAGCAGAUACAGUGUUGCGUUUACAAUACAUCAAAGAUGGCUGAUGAGCCUUCUCCUUUAUCUUUCUUGGCUUCUUUUUUCUUUGACAUCUGUACUACAAGUGUGUUCGGAGGUUUCUGCAAAUAUGCACUGGACAUAAAAGUCUACUAAAAGCUACAAACCUCAUUAAUUGUCUCAUAGUGAACUAGACAUGGGAAUGAUGGAUCAUUUGUGGAUUUUCCAUAAAUGAGAUGGAUGGGUACACUCUUUUCAUAAUAUGUUAGGAAGGUCCUGGACAUAAUCAACAUAAUGGCCAUUGGAGAUGCAGAAGUUUAGGUGUGCUCAUCAUCAGCAUGAAUUUCAUAUUAAUUCAGUCUUUUUAAUUUAUUUGAACCCUUUAUUUUUGCGGUGGACCAAUAUUACAACAUGCAACGUGAAAAAAAUGUUAAAAACAAAAAGAUGCAUCUGUUUUCUUUUUUUUUUUUUUCAAUUCUCUGUAUUGAGCCUCAGCAUUAUGCAACCACUAUCAUGCUUGACAGGUGGUACAGUCUUCUUGAGUUUGUAAGCCCUGCCUUGACUCCUCUAAUCAUUAAUUAUUUGUCAUUGUGACAGGAUUCCUCUAUCUUUGCCUAGUCUCACCAUAAAUGUUUGAUUUUCAGUAAGUAAGUAUUUGGAUUGUCUAUGUGGGAAGCUGCAAAUGUCAGUGGACAAAGAGGCUACCAUUAGGCUGCCACCAUCAACACCACUGGUAAUACAUGGACUAUGAUUAAAAGCCAGGUCUUAUGUGAAAACCAACCAAUUUAAAUUAGUUCUAUCUAUUUUAAUAAGAGUGGUCAAAUAUCCAAGUAGAAUUAUCCCAUAAGCUUGUUGAUGACAAAAAAAAAACAAUGUAGAUUCUCAGCAACUUGGUCAGGGACCUUUAUCCCAAUAUAAGUAGGGAUGUAUGCACAUUUUUGAGGCUGUAUAUAUCAUUUUGACUGUUUAGACUUGAGAAAAUCCAAAAUAAAUUCAAACUUGUACACCCCGCUCUUCUUUUUAAAAAUAGGGUUUUGUUAUAAAAUCAUUCAACUGAAAGCAAAUAGGUUUACAUGCAUUCGGAAUAUAAUCCACAUUCAAAAGGGCCAAAACUGUGUGUCAAAAUGAAUGUAUUGGAGUGUGUUGUUUAUUAUAAUUAAAGCAUCUCAGGGCAAUAACUUGUCUAAAUGUAAAUAGGACAGUAAAUUAGGAGGUUUGAGUUGCUGUCAGAUUAAUGACCUUUACACAGAUGUUCGCUCUAACCAGGCAUCACCGCAAGAAGUUUAACAGCAACUCAACAUAUACCAAUGAUGUUGAUCUUCUCCUUCUACUUUUGACUGUAGUAUUAGUUCAGUCUACAGUGACUCAGUUCCACUUAUUAUCAUUUUAACUUCAGGAAACUUUUCCUAAAGUGGCAGAUGGCUCAUUAGAUUAAAUAUUUAACAUACUCUGUAGACUGUCAGCAAAAAGCCCUAAUUAUUCUCAAAGACAAAGAAUAAAAACAUGUUGAUUUUUUUUUUUUUUUUUAUUAUCCUCCUGUGUUCAUAAAUGACAUUGUGGCCCUCUGAUGUGGUUAAGCCUGGUAACACACAAAGUGUGGUGUGUGCAAACCCGGACUCAAAGAGGGAGUGCAUAAUGGGAUUAGACUGCUAUUUGCUCAAUAGUCACUUUGUUCAGCAGUCGUACAGAUGCUUGCUGUGUAUCUGAGGCUCAGUUAGAGGGUUUUUUUGAAGAAAUAUUUAUUAUUUUGCUCAGUGUUCAAAUCCUCUGUGAAUUCAUGUCAUACAGCCAGAAUGUAAAUGAGUCAUCUCUCUCAGAAAGUCUCCUGCUUAUUUAUUUGCCAGUAAAUUUGGGUUUAUUGUUUAAAAUAAAUGUGAUAGCUUUAAGCAUCAUUGAUUCCA